CCGGGGGCUUUGUGGGUCAGCCACGUCGCCGCGCCCGGGCUUCCCCGCGGGCCCGCCGGUCCGGAAGGUCGGCCCGGGGCUCUUUUCUCCGCUGUUCUCCUUCUCUGGCGCCCCCAGGACACGCGGCCAGUGGACGCCCGGAACGGCCGACCGGGAGUCGCGGCUGGGGAUGGAAGCUGGAAUUGGGGGUGCGGGAUGGAGCGGAGAGAGGAGGCCCCGCGCGCCGUCGGCCGCCUCAUUUCAGACUCCCCUGCGACCCCCCCCCCGCCGCCAGCCGAAGCCCGGGCCGCCCAGCCCCUCCUGCCGCUGCGGGACGCCGAAGGUAGCGCUCACAUCCGCGCCUUCCGGGCCUGGCGCCCACGUGCGGAGUCCCCGGGUUAGGAAAGGCCGCGCAUCCGGAGGCCACGCAGAGCCUCGGGGCUUGCGCAGAGGGGCUGCGGUGAGUCCUGACCCUGAGUGGGGGUCACGGGGCUCGUUGCUCGCUGAAGUGAACACGGUUGCAGCUGUGCACAGUGGCGGAGGGAGAGGAUGAGGGACUCUGACCCAAGGUUAUGUGGCAGUGAGGGGCAAGCAGAAAUGGGGGCCUCCGGACCCCACCCCGAGACAGGGCUGCUGGCCGCUGCACUAUGCUGAAUAUAGCCCAAAUUCUUACAUGGGUCGUCCCCGGGGAAUGCUCAUUUUUCAGGCUCCAGAGCUUGAGAGAAAGUGCGAACCCGGUCCCUGAGCAGGUCUGAUUCCCAUGGCCCCUUCGCCAUCUGCUCUGCACCGAAAUUGGAUUCUCCUACGCAGAGGAGAAGGUGGAGAAGAUUCUCCGUCUUCCGGAGGGUAGCUACUGCCGGUAGCUCCGAUUUCCUUCGGAUCCCCUUUCAAGGGCAAGCAGAAGGAAAUCAGUUUCUCCAAAGAAAGUGGCCCGGCUGAGUAAGUGGGAACAAGGUGGUUGGACUGAGGCACGGGAUCCUUUAGCUCCGUUGCUCUUCUAAUCCCGUGGCCCUGGGCACCGCCACUUCCUCCUCUGAACUGCUGGAAUAAUCACUUCUGACUAGCAGAGUUACUGGGAGCCGCUGUUUGUCAGUGUUCACAUUCUGACUUUAGCAGGAGAUGGAGCGAGCGAAGGAGUGAAGCCCUUGUUUGUGAACAGUGAUUGUUUCCCGGAUGACAGCCAGAUGCCGGGCAGGGCCACGCAGAUCUUAGCUGGAGCCUACAGGUACAAGUGAGAGCCACCCCCUUUGACGUAACUGGACUGGCAUUUACAGAACUCAUGUACAGCCCACUCUCAGGAACACCAGCCAGGAACCGUGACAUGGAGGAGAGGAAUUGGGAGGAACCGAGGGGUCAUCAAAGGCUGGUAGGGCUUAGGUGCUCUAGCAAACAUCCUAGUCUGUGGGGUUCCAGAGCUCUGGUGCUACAGCUCCCAACCCUUUGAUUGGCCCAGGAACUGGCUGUUGAGUGGGCAUCCGUGUUCAUAGCUCUGCCCCUUGCAACCCUAAAGCAGAUAAAAUGCAGGAGGCAGAAAUUGCUGGCAGACAGCAUCCAAUUAAUCCCCACUACCCAAUUCAGUUUCUUCCCCUGACCUGACACGUCCCUGCCCAGCUGUGCCUCCCACUGUUCACCUUUUGAGGCACAAAACGGGCUGUUUAUGCUGCUGCUGCAUUUAGCUCAAAACAGGGCUUCAGAGUCAAGGUUCUGGACUCAGGCACCCGGAUUAAAUCCUGCCCUAUGAAUUCCUAGCCAGGUGACCUCAGGCCUACAUAACCUUUCUGUACCUCAACUUCCUCAUCCAGAAAACAGGGAUGAUGCUGUCUACCUCAUUGGAUGGUUGUGCAGGAUCAAAGAUUCAGUCAUUCAGCAAACCUAUACCGAGUACCUACUGUACACUCAUGAGUGCUAGGCAGCCAGCCUUCCAGGUGCUCAGGUACAUCUGUGAACACAACUGGCUAUUGGAGGAAGCAAAAUCAGUAACAUGACCUGCUCUCUUUGAUCUGUGCUACAGAAAAAAAGGAAAGUGGAGAGGCAUCAGGAAGUCAGGAGUGCUGGGGAGGGGCUGGUAACAGUCAUGGUAUUAAAGAGGAGGGCAGGCAGGCCUUACUGUGAAGGUGGUAUUUGAGAUGAAGUAGUUGGUCAGAGUCCCUGUUUGACACAUGGAGACCACCUUGACAGCAAAGGCCCUAAGGGGGAGCGGUGCGAAGCAAGGUGGGCUGGUGAGUGAGAGGAGAGGGAUGGCAUAGAGCUGGGUGGGGGCACAGGAGCCCGUGGGGAAGGUGUUCGCCUCUGAAUGAAGUGGGGUUGUAUCAGAUACCACGGGUGAAGCAUCGGGAAGAGGAUCCUGCCUGUAAACCCUGCUCAAGGACUGCACCAUCAUCAUGCCCAGUGUGUGCGUGUAUUAGGUUUGUAUGAAUAUAAUGUUGCCAAUUGUAUCUGUUUUUAUGAAAUGUUUGCUAUGUGCCAAUGAUUAUUCGAUCCAUGGGGAGACCAUAGAAGAAUGAUCCAAGGAGUUGGGAGGGGAAUCAAAUAAUAAAUCAGCGAUUCUGCAAUAUAACGCCAUUGGUGAUCGGUGUCAUGAAAGAAAUACAACAUGGUGGGGAAGAGUGUGCUGGGGAUGUUCAGGUAGGGCCUCUGUCAGGAGGUGACAUUUGAGUGGAGAGCAG
rnacentral:lncRNA from 1 species